rnacentral:rRNA from 1 species
CGUAGGUGGCAAGCGAUACUCGGAAUCACUAGGCGUAAAGCGCAGGUAGGAGGUUGAAUAAGUCUCUUGUGAAAGCUCCCGGCUUAACUGGGAGAGGUCAAGGGAAACUAUUCGGCUAGAGUGUGGUAGAGGAAGAUGGAAUUCCCGGUGUAGCGGUGAAAUGCGUAGAUAUCGGGAGGAAUACCUAUGGCGAAAGCAGUCUUCUGGACCAUCACUGACUCUGAUCUGCGAAAGCUAGGGGAGCAAACAGGAUUAGAUACCCUGGUAGUCCUAGCCCUAAACGAUGCUCAUUAGGUGUGGGAGGUAUCGACCCCUUCCGCGCCGUAGCUAACGCAUUAAAUGAGCCGCCUGGGGAGUACGGCCGCAAGGUUG